rnacentral:rRNA from 1 species
UACAGAGGGGGCAAGCGUUGUUCGGAAUUACUGGGCGUAAAGGGCGCGUAGGCGGCCUGCUAAGUCGAACGUGAAAUCCCUGGGCUCAACCCAGGAACUGCGUCCGAUACUGGUUGGCUUGAAUCCGGGAGAGGGAUGUGGAAUUCCAGGUGUAGCGGUGAAAUGCGUAGAUAUCUGGAGGAACACCGGCGGCGAAGGCGGCCAACUGGACGAUUACUGACGCUGAGACACGAAAGCGUGGGGAGCAAACAGG